UACGUAGGGUGCGAGCGUUGUCCGGAAUUAUUGGGCGUAAAGAGCUCGUAGGCGGUUUGUUGCGUCGGCUGUGAAAUCCCGAGGCUCAACCUCGGGUCUGCAGUCGAUACGAGCAAACUAGAGUGUUGCAGGGGAGACUGGAAUUCCUGGUGUAGCGGUGAAAUGCGCAGAUAUCAGGAGGAACACCGGUGGCGAAAGCGGGUCUCUGGGCAACAACUGACGCUGAGGAGCGAAAGCGUGGGGAGCGAACAGG
rnacentral:rRNA from 1 species